ensembl:lncRNA
AAUAGAUCCCAUCAAAUACUAAAAGGUGACCUGUGGAGUUGAAGACAGUAUUUUGAUCAACAGUUUGUGCAUAUAUGUUGCAAAGUUUGGACAGCCAUGCGUAUUGUUAGUAUUCUGUCUGUCUCUACAUGGACAUGCUCACAUGAACAACAACAAAGAACCCAAGCUAAAUGUUCCUUUGCAACAAUUUAAACAUUAUUAAUGUGAAGAAGACUGUCAGCAUAUCAAUACCCCUGUCUGCAACAGAAGCUGAUUCUUCAGGUAAUACUGAACUUUAAACUGGUAUAAGCACAAAGAGUUAAUUAGCACUGUUAUGCAUAAGAGGGUGUCAGUGUAUGAAGUUUAUUGCAGUAGAAAAAUUCAAUGAAUUCUGUGCUAAUUUUUAAGUAAUUAAAUAAUCUUCACACUUAAUAACUUGAG